rnacentral:rRNA from 1 species
UACGUAGGGGGCAAGCGUUGUCCGGAAUUAUUAGGCGUAAAGCGCGCGCAGGCGGUUCCUUAAGUCUGAUGUGAAAGCCCACGGCUUAACCGUGGAGGGUCAUUGGAAACUGGGGAACUUGAGUACAGAAGAGGAGAGUGGAAUUCCACGUGUAGCGGUGAAAUGCGUAGAUAUGUGGAGGAACACCAGUGGCGAAGGCGACUCUCUGGUCUGUAACUGACGCUGAGGUGCGAAAGCGUGGGGAGCGAACAGG